AUGACUGUAUCGGCCGGUCGCUGGCCGCGAUGGUCGUGGAAGCGUCGCGCAUUAAUCCGGCUGAGCUCAGGAUUCAACGUUGAUGAAUUUUUAUGGUCGUUUGGCGAUUGNNNCGGGCGCUAUGACGUGGGGAUUACCCGCCGUCUCCCCUGUACGAGCCCAGGUGCCCGACGCGCCCCAGCAGAAGGGUCUCGGAACAAAAGCUAUCGAAGCGGCGAAGAC
rnacentral:misc_RNA from 1 species